GAAAAGUUGAGCCGAUCUGCCACGUGUGUUCAUUGUCCUCCCAUCCCCUGCAGUCCUUUUUAAAGAAAUGACGUUGAAAAUAAGGAUAGCCUUUUAUGUCAACUUAUGUUAGCGUUAUUAGGUCGAGAAGUUAUCUAAUUUAUAUUUUUGGUAUCACACUAGUCUACUGUUGUUGAGAUCUUUAUAUACAUGGAGAAGCUUGCCUUGAUGAGUUAAAUUAUUGUUGCAUUUUUUAACCUUGAUUUUAAUGUAUCUGUAUUAAAAUUCACAGAAGGUGUUAGAAGAAAACAGAAGUAUGAUUUGCUAGUGAUUAAUGCUUAAACAAGCUUUACAAAGUCAGAGUGUAUAAAAAUCUUAUAGUUCACAACUAAAAUUAUUCAAUUAACUUGGAAUUUAAUUUACCAAGGUACUUGUAUAAAUAAGCAGAAUUUCAGCUAGCAUAGAAGUUCAU